rnacentral:rRNA from 1 species
ACUCCUACGGGAGGCAGCAGUGGGGAAUAUUGCGCAAUGGGCGAAAGCCUGACGCAGCAACGCCGCGUGCGGGAUGACGGCCUGGUUGUAACGCUUCAGCAGGAGAAGCGCAAGGUGACGGUACCUGCAGAAGAAGCACCGGCUAACUACGUGCCAGCAGCCGCGGUAAUACGUAGGUGCAAGCGUUGUCCGGAUUAUUGGGCGUAAAGAGCUCGUAGGCGGUCUGUUGCGUCGGUUGUGAAAACUCGGGCGUUAACCCCGAGCCUGCAUCCGAUACGGGCAGACUUGAGUGUGGUAGGGGAGGACUGGAAUUCCUGGUGUAGCGGUGAAAUGCGCAGAUAUCAGGAGGAACACCGAAUGGCGAAGGCAGGUCUCUGGGCCACAACUGACGCUGAGGAGCGAAAGCGUGGGAGCAAACAGGAUUAGAUA